ensembl:lncRNA
UGAAGGUGAGGUGUGCUCACCAAAUCAUUGCUGAUUUGCGUUGGGUGUAAGGCUGCAAGCAUCGCCAGCCUUUUAUGUAGGUCACGUCUUAGUUUUUGUGUCAUCGCAUGCUUGGGGCACUACAAGACAGAAAAACAGAAGCCAGCCGUGGAGGAGAUCUGCACAGGAGUGAGGGACAUAGUAACAGCCCUUGCAAGGACAGCGUCUUCCCCUCUUGUGGAGCCCAUCUAUCAUCACAGUGCUGCCAUAACCAACGGGCUCCUCUGCAGUCUUGAUCCCUGGUCAGCCUGGCAUGCACUGUGGUAACAAGUGAACCUUCCCCAUCCUUGCUCAGCUCCAUCGUAUGCACUGCAGGUAGCAUAUAGGCAGCCAGCUGAACUCAGCAGGGCCCAGAGUGAGCAGGGAAACGAUUCCAAGGCAACAUCUCACAUGCCACCAUACAAGAAAGCAAACUUUCCAGAGAUGUAGGAUAUGUCACCGACCCUGGUGGUGUUUAAAGAGCGUUUGGAUGUUGUGCUAAGGGACGUGGUUUAGUGGGAACCAUUGGUGAUUGGUGAAGGGCAAACGGUUGGACUGGAUGAUCCUGUGGGUCUUUUCCAACCUUAGCGAUUCUAUGAUUCUAUGAUUCUAUGUCCCUCACCCAACAGCAGCACAACGUUCUGCGUUCUGCAGGCCUGCAUUACGCCCUCACCCUGCUGUCCCCUGCCCCUGUGGUUUGCUUCAGCUGUGGAAACAGGAACUGCUGAGUCAGCGUGCUGGUGUAACUCACACUGCUCUCAUGGGGAGAGGGCUGCAGCGAGGGGGCUGGCAGCAGCUCACAGCCUGCAGGAAAACAAGUACUUACAUUCUCUUGCAGUGGCCUGAAAAAAUAAAUAAUCUCUUUGCUUAAAAACUCAAAGAGGUAGCAAGAACCCGAAGUCCCAGUUAUGCUUGAAGAAGCCAAGAUGCAGCUGGCUGAACAGACAGAACAAGGCCAUCACAUUUGGCUCAUCUGCCUGGUGCCGAUAGAGAGCAGCAGCCUGUUCUGAUUACGGACUCGUGCAGAGGUGAAAUUGCUCCCUUGGAACCAGUACAAGGUGCCCUGUUGAUGUUUGGAGGACCAGCAGCACAGAGAGUCAGGAGACAGAUUCUGCAACCCAGGAAGAGAAAGUGUUUGCUGUUCCCCCGCAGUGCCACACCUUUGAGACAUGCCCAGUUCGUCAAGACUGCGUGAUGGGAAGGCAGGAGGUUUACUGUGCCUGGAAGCCAGAAUGAACUAUUACAAAUAAAAAUUUCAAAUAAGCAAGUUCUGAAGUUUCUCUGAGGAAGGGAAAGGAGUGAGUACAGCACGGCAGCUAGCUGUGCAUAGAGGGAGCCAGAGCUGGAGAAGUGAGCACACGCAUACGGGGAUGGAAUUUGGAGACCACUACCCAGAGGGGUGCCUUGAGG